rnacentral:rRNA from 1 species
UACGGAGGGUGCAAGCGUUGUCCGGAUUUAUUGGGUUUAAAGGGUGCGUAGGCGGCACGUUAAGUCAGAGGUGAAAGCCUCCAGCUCAACUGGAGAACUGCCAUUGAUACUGACGGGCUUGAGUACAGACGAGGUUGGCGGAAUUGAUUGUGUAGCGGUGAAAUGCAUAGAUACAAUCAAGAACUCCGAUUGCGUAGGCAGCUAACUAGGCUGUAACUGACGCUGAGGCACGAAAGCGUGGGGAGCGAACAGG